ACCAAGGGCCCUACAAGACACAUGACCUUCCUGCUCACAACAUAAAGCUCAGUUCUCUCUGGCCUCUACAGUUUGGCUCAGCACCAGGGAAGCCAUGACCCUCCAAGAACAAAGUGCCGCUCCAAUGGCAGCUUCCUUCCACAGCUUCAGCAGCCGAACCAAAGACUCCUUGAACUCCUAUGUAAGAGGGUCUGGAAAGCUCAACAAUUUCCAACAACCCUACCAGGAUAUCUUCCAAGAAAGUCUCACCAUCCCACAGAAGCCCUCCACCUGAUGUCCUGCAGUGCCACGCUCCGUGUAUUUGACAAGCUGAGUUGGACACUCCAUGUGGUAGAGUGUCAGUUUGUCAAAUACCCCAAGUGCGGCACGUGCCUAGCAGCUCCAAACUGGGGCCGAUUGGAUGCAAGAAACCGACUGCUGGUUGGCUAAAGGAUGCUCACCCCAAACCAAACUUUUCCAAGUCAUAUUUCUGAGAUUUUGAGGGAACCAAGGCACGGCAACUGAGGGUGUUGAGGUGAGGGGGUGAGGGCGGUCUCUGAGCUCCAGCCCUGGGCUGUGUCUACACACAUUUUGAGAACGCUGGGAAGCACACAAUAAUCUUUAAAAAAAGAGGAUAUGGGGACACAGGUGUUCUUAAAUUCUUUUUUUAUUCUUUUCUUCCUUCACAUUCCCUUUCCAGUCUUACAGCCAGGACACCAGAAUUCUCACACAAUUUUUAUGGCUUAUGUGACAAAGCAGGUCACAGAAAUUCACUUUCUCCUCACUCGUUCUUACCUUCUAAACAAAUUUUGACAUUUCCCAUCUUUUUGCUUUUCCUCUUUCCUUUUCUCCUUCUCAGAACAUCUGUGUUUCUCCAUGCCUGUCCAUUUCUGCUCUGUAUUUCCUGGUCCCACCAAAGUUCAGUCUCUUGGGGACUUUUGACAGUUAAACUAUGCUUUUACUUUCUUCAUUCACAAAACACUCCUUGCCUGUGUCCUGCUAUGUGCUACUAUAUCUCCAACCACCCAAUAUAAACUUUUAGAUUGUCACUGAUACUUGUCACGGGGGUAUGCUUGAAUUCCCCAUUACAUGUGAGCUUCUAGAAGGUAAAACUCUUUAAUUGAUUGCUGCUUCCCCUACAAUAGCCCAUUAUUUUGAUGUAACAAAACAUUUAGAGGCCGACCAUAUAGCUCAGCAGCAUAAGUGCCUUCCUGGCAAGCACAAGGUCCUGAGUUUGAUUCCCAGUAACCCCCCAAAGCA